rnacentral:rRNA from 1 species
AUUCCUACGGGAGGCAGCAGUGGGGAAUAUUGCACAAUGGGCGAAAGCCUGAUGCAGCAACGCCGCGUGAGCGAUGAAGGCCUUCGGGUCGUAAAGCUCUGUCCUCAAGGAAGAUAAUGACGGUACUUGAGGAGGAAGCCCCGGCUAACUACGUGCCAGCAGCCGCGGUAAUAAU